AUUGAACGCUGGCGGCAGGCCUAACACAUGCAAGUCGAGCGGGGUUUUCGGACCUAGCGGCGGACGGGUGAGUAAUGCGUAGGAAGCUACCCGAUAGAGGGGGAUACCAGUUGGAAACGACUGUUAAUACCGCAUAAUGUCUACGGACCAAAGUGUGGGACCUUCGGGCCACAUGCUAUCGGAUGCGCCUACGUGGGAUUAGCUAGUUGGUGAGGUAAUGGCUCACCAAGCCGACGAUCUGUAGCUGGUCUGAGAGGACGACCAGCCACACUGGGACUGAGACACGGCCCAGACUCCUACGGGAGGCAGCAGUGGGGAAUUUUGGACAAUGGGCGCAAGCCUGAUCCAGCCAUGCCGCGUGUGUGAAGAAGGCCUUCGGGUUGUAAAGCACUUUCAGCGAGGAGGAAGGGGUGUGUGUUAAUAGUACACACCUUUGACGUUACUCGCAGAAGAAGCACCGGCUAACUCUGUGCCAGCAGCCGCCGUAACAC
rnacentral:rRNA from 1 species